rnacentral:rRNA from 1 species
UACGUAGGGGGCAAGCGUUGUCCGGAAUUAUUGGGCGUAAAGAGCGCGUAGGCGGUCCGGUAAGUCAGCUGUGAAAGUCAAGGGCUCAACCCUUGAAAGCCGGUUGAUACUGUCGGGCUAGAGUCCGGAAGAGGCGAGUGGAAUUCCUGGUGUAGCGGUGAAAUGCGCAGAUAUCAGGAAGAACACCCGUGGCUAAGGCGGCUCUCUAGUACGGUACUGACGCUGAGACGCGAAAGCGUGGGGAGCGAACAGG